CCUAUACUCACGCCCGUUGGUGCUCGCGAGGCCAUUGCGGCCGAGCAGUUAAACGGGAACCAGGAAGGGAGCGUCCGCCCAGGAACGCUCCCCAGCCUGGGCUGCCCCCGCAACGGUUCAGCGACGAAGACGGCACCGCCGGCUUCAUCCCUGCAUGGAACACACGCCCACUGAAAAGCCCCGCGCCUUUUGGGAAGGGCCCAUCGCAGCGUCGCCAGCCCGGAUACCGGCCGACAGGGGGCGUCGCAG
rnacentral:ncRNA from 2 species